rnacentral:rRNA from 1 species
AUUGAACGCUGGCGGCAGGCCUAACACAUGCAAGUCGAACGAGUGGCGGACGGGUGAGUAAUGCUUGGGAAUCUGGCUUAUGGAGGGGGAUAACGACGGGAAACUGUCGCUAAUACCGCAUACCAGAGGAUGCGCCCAAGUGGGAUUAGGUAGUUGGUGGGGUAAUGGCCGACCAAGCCGACGAUCUCUAGCUGGUCUGAGAGGAUGACCAGCCACACCGGGACUUAGACACGGCCCAGACUCCUACGGGAGGCAGCAGUGGGGAAUAUUGCACAAUGGGCGCAAGCCUGAUGCAGCAAUGCCGAGUGUGUGAAGAAGGCCUUCGGGUUGUAAAGCACUUUCAGCUGGGAGGCGUUACCCGCAGAAGAAGCACCGGCUAACUCCGUGCCAGCCGCCGCGGUAAUAC